rnacentral:rRNA from 1 species
AAAGACUAAUCGAACCAUCUAGUAGCUGGUUCCCUCCGAAGUUUCCCUCAGGAUAGCUGGAACAAUUAUGCAGUUUUAUCAGGUAAAGCGAAUGAUUAGAGGUCUCAGGACUAUUAUGGUCUUGUCCUAUUCUCAAACUUUAAAUUGGUAAGAACUCUUUGUUCUCUUAACUGAACAUUGAGACAGAAUGCGUGUUCCUAGUGGGCCAUUUUUGGUAAGCAGAACUGGCGAUGAGGGAUGAACCUAACGUUGAGUUAAGGUGCCCAACUAUACGCUCAUGAGAUACCACAAAAGGUGUUGAUUCAUCUAAACAGCAGGACGGUGGACAUAAAAGUCGUCAUCCGCUAAGGAGUGUGUUACAACUCACCUGCCGAAUGAAUUAGCCCUGAAAAUGGAUGGCGCU